rnacentral:misc_RNA from 1 species
CACCUCCUUUCUAAGGAAUAAUUACGGAACCUGUACAUUUAUYGAAUACUUUGUUUAGUUUUGAGAGGUCAUAUCUCUCAAGAUUUUGUUCUUUGAAAACUAGAUAUUGAUUUAUUUCUUAAAAAUAAACCGAGAACACCGCGUUUUAAAGAGUUUAAAACAAGAAUUAUAGUUCUUAAUCGCUAAACUCAUAACCUAUUAUCGUUAGAUAAUAUUAGGUUAAGUUAUUAAGGGCGYACGGUGGAUGCCUU